AUUGAACGCUGGCGGCAUGCUUUACACAUGCAAGUCGAACGGCAGCGCGGGCUUCGGCCUGGCGGCGAGUGGCGAACGGGUGAGUAAUGCAUCGGAACGUGCCCAGUAGUGGGGGAUAGCCCGGCGAAAGCCGGAUUAAUACCGCAUACGACCUGAGGGUGAAAGCGGGGGACCGAAAGGCCUCGCGCUAUUGGAGCGGCCGAUGUCGGAUUAGCUAGUUGGUGGGGUAAAGGGUUACCAAGGCGACGAUCCGUAGCUGGUCUGAGAGGACGACCAGCCACACUGGGACUGAGACACGGCCCAGACUCCUACGGGAGGCAGCAGUGGGGAAUUUUGGACAAUGGGGGCAACCCUGAUCCAGCCAUGCCGCGUGCGGGAAGAAGGCCUUCGGGUUGUAAACCGCUUUUGUUCGGGAAGAAAUCCUCUGGGCUAAUACCCCGGGGGGAUGACGGUACCGGAAGAAUAAGCACCGGCUAACUACGUG
rnacentral:rRNA from 1 species